GCGUUGGUGGUUCAGAGGUAGAAUUCUCACCUUCCACGUGGGAGGCCUGGGUUUGAUUCUCAGCCAACGCA
rnacentral:tRNA from 1 species